rnacentral:rRNA from 1 species
UAGAGUUUGAUCAUGGCUCAGAUUGAACGCUGGCGGCAGGCCUAACACAUGCAAGUCGAGCGGAAACGAGAAAAGCUUGCUAUUCGGCGUCGAGCGGCGGACGGGUGAGUAAUGCCUGGGAAAUUGCCCUGAUGUGGGGGAUAACCAUUGGAAACGAUGGCUAAUACCGCAUAAUAGCUUCGGCUUAAAGAGGGGGACCUUCGGGCCUCUCGCUUCAGGAUAUGCCCAGGUGGGAUUAGCUAGUUGGUGAGGUAAAGGCUCACCAAGGCGACGAUCCCUAGCUGGUCUGAGAGGAUGAUCAGCCACACUGGAACUGAGACACGGUCCAGACUCCUACGGGAGGCAGCAGUGGGGAAUAUUGCACAAUGGGCGCAAGCCUGAUGCAGCCAUGCCGCGUGUAUGAAGAAGGCCUUCGGGUUGUAAAGUACUUUCAGCAGUGAGGAAGGGUGUGUAGUUAAUAGCUGCAUACUUUGACGUUAGCUGCAGAAGAAGCACCGGCUAACUCCGUGCCAGCAGCCGCGGUAAUACGGAGGGUGCGAGCGUUAAUCGGAAUUACUGGGCGUAAAGCGCAUGCAGGUGGUUUGUUAAGUCAGAUGUGAAAGCCCGGGGCUCAACCUCGGAACCGCAUUUGAAACUGGCAGGCUAGAGUACUGUAGAGGGGGGUAGAAUUUCA